UACGUAGGGUGCGAGCGUUGUCCGGAAUUAUUGGGCGUAAAGAGCUCGUAGGCGGCUCGUCGCGUCGGAUGUGAAAGCCCGGGGCUUAACUCCGGGUCUGCAUUCGAUACGGGCAGGCUAGAGUUCGGUAGGGGAGAUCGGAAUUCCUGGUGUAGCGGUGAAAUGCGCAGAUAUCAGGAGGAACACCGGUGGCGAAGGCGGAUCUCUGGGCCGAUACUGACGCUGAGGAGCGAAAGCGUGGGGAGCGAACAGG
rnacentral:rRNA from 1 species